rnacentral:rRNA from 1 species
CAGCCGCCGCGGGAAUACAGAGGGUGCGAGCGUUAAUCGGAAUUACUGGGCGUAAAGCGUGCGCAGGCGGUUUUGUAAGACAGAGGUGAAAUCCCCGGGCUCAACCUGGGAACUGCCUUUGUGACUGCAAGGCUAGAGUACGGCAGAGGGGGAUGGAAUUCCGCGUGUAGCAGUGAAAUGCGUAGAUAUGCGGAGGAACACCGAUGGCGAAGGCAAUCCCCUGGGCCUGUACUGACGCUCAUGCACGAAAGCGUGGGGAGCAAACAGGAUUAGAUACCCCAGUAGUCCCUGUCUCUUAUAA